rnacentral:rRNA from 1 species
GUAGGGAAUCUUCCGCAAUGGACGCAAGUCUGACGGAGCAACGCCGCGUGAGUGAUGAAGGUUUUCGGAUCGUAAAGCUCUGUUGCCCUAGACGAACAGCAAGGAGAGUAACUGCUCUUUGUGUGACGGUAUAGGAGAAGAAAGCCCCGGCUAACUACGUGCCAGCAGCCGCGGUAAUACGUAGGGGGCAAGCGUUGUCCGGAAUUAUUGGGCGUAAAGCGCGCGCAGGCGGUCAAUUAAGUUGGGUGUUUAAGCCCGGGGCUCAACCCCGGUUCGCAUCCAAAACUGGUUGACUUGAGUGUAGGAGAGGAAAGUGGAAUUCCACGUGUAGCGGUGAAAUGCGUAGAGAUGUGGAGGAACACCAGUGGCGAAGGCGACUUUCUGGCCUAUAACUGACGCUGAGGCGCGAAAGCGUGGGGAGCAAACAGGAUUAGAAACCCUAGUAGUCC